UACGGGGGGGGCAAGCGUUGUUCGGAAUUACUGGGCGUAAAGGGCGCGUAGGCGGCCAGCACAAGUCAGUUGUGAAAUCUCCGAGCUUAACUCGGAAAGGUCAACUGAUACUGUGCGGCUAGAGUGCGGAAGGGGCAACUGGAAUUCUUGGUGUAGCGGUGAAAUGCGUAGAUAUCAAGAGGAACACCUGCGGCGAAGGCGGGUUGCUGGGCCGACACGUGACGCUGAUGCGCGAAAGCUAGGGGAGCGAACGGG
rnacentral:rRNA from 1 species